GACGAACGCUGGCGGCGUGCCUAAUACAUGCAAGUUGAGCGCUGAAGGUUGGUACUUGUACCCACUGGAUGAGCAGCGAACGGGUGAGUAACGCGUGGGGAAUCUGCCUUUGAGCGGGGGACAACAUUUGGAAACGAAUGCUAAUACCGCAUAAAAACUUUAAACACAAGUUUUAAGUUUGAAAGAUGCAAUUGCAUCACUCAAAGAUGAUCCCGCGUUGUAUUAGGUAGUUGGUGAGGUAAAGGCCCAACAAGGCCAUGAUACAUAGCCGGCCGGGAAGGGGGAUCGGGCACAAUGGGACGUGAACACGGCCCAAGCCCCUUCGGGAGGCAGCAGGAGGGAAACUUCGGCAAUGGAGGAAAGUCUGACCGAGCAACGCCGCGGGAGUGGAGAAAGGUUUCGGGUCGUAAAACUCUGUUGGUAGAGAAAGACGUUGGGGAGAGUGGAAAGCUCAUCAAGUGACGGUAACUACACAGAAAGGGACGGCUAACUACGUG
rnacentral:rRNA from 1 species